rnacentral:rRNA from 1 species
AUGGGGAGGCCACCUUCUAGUGAUGAGAAUGGCCUCAAGAAGGGCCCCUGGACUACUGAAGAAGACGAGAAGCUCAUGAGCUACAUCCAGAAGCAUGGCCAUGGAAGCUGGAGAUCCCUACCUCAACUUGCUGGCCUGAACAGGUGUGGUAAGAGCUGCAGGCUAAGAUGGACCAACUACCUGAAGCCAGACAUCAAGAGAGGGAAGUUCUCCCAGGAGGAAGAGCAAACCAUCCUCCAGCUGCAUACCGUCCUUGGCAACAAGUGGUCGGCUAUUGCGAAGCAUCUCCCUGGACGGACAGACAACGAGAUCAAGAACUUCUGGAACACCCACCUCAGGAAGAAGCUCAUCAAGAUGGGCAUCGAUCCGAUGACCCACCGUCCGAGAACAGACUUCUUUGCUGCUCUCCCGCAGCUCAUUGCACUCGCCAACCUUCGGCAGUUCAUCAAUCAGCAACCAUGGGAUGACCACACCGCCGGGCUGCAAGCUCAGACAGCACAGGCUGCCAACCUCCAGUACGUGCAGUCACUGCUUCACUCUGCAGCCUCCAUUGCUGCCAGCCCCACUACCAGCAGCAGCCUCAACAGUCUCACCAUGGACCUGGAGCAGAUCAACUUCUUGAGCCCUCCGCAGAUGCUUUCUCCAAGUGUACUUGAGGGUAAUGGUGGCAUAGACUUAGCAGGGCAGGUGGCUCAGAACCAAAUGCCUAGCAUUACCUUUGAUCACACAAUUGGCAACAUCAACCCGGGUUCAGAUAACCAUGUUGAAACCAGUGGGCAGCACCGCAGUGAGGAAGAGAAUAACAGCAAGAAAAGGCAGUUUCUCUCUGAAAACUCCCUUCCACCUCUCACUGACAUGGCGGCUUCCAACAUUUGCAAUACCAUCAGCACCUCAAACUGCGACGGCGUUAGUAGUCCGUUUCCCAGUUGGUCAGAAAUCCUACUUGAUGAAGAGCUGCUGAGCGAGUUUGCAUGA